GAACGAACGCUGGCGGCAUGCCUAACACAUGCACGUCGAACGAGACCUUCGGGUCUCGUGGCGCACGGGUGCGUAACGCGUGGGAACCUGCCCUUAGGUUCGGAAUAACUCCCCGAAAGGGGUGCUAAUACCGGAUAAUGUCUUCGGACCAAAGAUUUAUCGCCUUUGGAUGGGCCCGCGUUGGAUUAGCUAGUUGGUAGGGUAAAAGCCUACCAAGGCGACGAUCCAUAGCUGGUCUGAGAGGAUGAUCAGCCACACUGGGACUGAGACACGGCCCAGACUCCUACGGGAGGCAGCAGUGGGGAAUAUUGGACAAUGGGCGAAAGCCUGAUCCAGCAAUGCCGCGUGAGUGAUGAAGGCCUUAGGGUUGUAAAGCUCUUUUACCCGGGAUGAUAAUGACAGUACCGGGAGAAUAAGCUCCGGCUAACUCCGUG
rnacentral:rRNA from 1 species